ensembl:lncRNA
CGAAGAAAAAAUAGCAAACCACAUAAACCAGCAAGUCUCUAAUUAUAUUUAGCCUUAGUUAUGGCCGCACUUGAACCUUAUGGUGAUUUUAUCCUUGAACUAUUUGACACUGGAAAGACGCACAACGAGAUCAGUACCGCUCUAAAGCAAUCUGGUGCCCCGAAGUGCUGCGUUAUGACGGUGAGGAGGUUCUGUGUGGAGCACAACCUUCGAAGAAGAAAAGUUUCCGACACUGAUUUGGAAAUGGCAGUGGUUUCUUCCAUCAACAAGAGUUGGGAGGACAGUCAUCAGCCGAUACCACGAUUUGCGAAGACAUAAGUAAGUAACUUAGAGUACGGGUGCUCGUAAUCUGAACCCCAUUCCCUACCAUGCAGAAUAUAUGGGCCAUAAACUGCACAUGGAUCAAAAUGAGAAGCUCGGCAUGUUCGGUGUCACACAUGUGGCAGUUGAUGGCAGCAGCGGCAGAAUUGUUGCAAGUGCCACCAUGCCUUGGAAAAACAAUCUGAUUAUUUAGGAGGUAUACAGAUGUGCAGUGGUUGCCAAUGGGAUGUGGGACCAAGUCAGAGUUGACCAUGGGAAGGAGUUCUACCUGUGCCUGUACAUCCAGGGAAUCCUUUCCAGGCAUAACCUCAGCAAGCAACCUUACCUGCAGACUACAUCUUCAAGGGUACCUCUUUGUAUUACUACUAAAAAGGGAGAAGGAAGGUGAAAUCAGAUUAUAUGGCCACAGUGAAAACUGACAGAAUUUUUCAGUUUCUUAUUUGUUUCAUGGAGAGUCAAAUGGAAUUUGUCCUUCGAACAAAAUAUUUAGCAGUUACU